rnacentral:rRNA from 1 species
GACGAACGCUGGCGGCGUGCUUAACACAUGCAAGUCGAGCGAUGAAGUUCCUUCGGGAACGGAUUAGCGGCGGACGGGUGAGUAACACGUGGGUAACCUGUCUCAUAGAGGGGAAUAGCCUUUCGAAAGGAAGAUUAAUACCGCAUAAGAUUGUAGCUUCGCAUGGAGUAGCAAUUAAAGGAGUAAUCCGCUAUGAGAUGGACCCGCGUCGCAUUAGCUAGUUGGUGAGGUAACGGCUCACCAAGGCGACGAUGCGUAGCCGACCUGAGAGGGUGAUCGGCCACAUUGGGACUGAGACACGGCCCAGACUCCUACGGGAGGCAGCAGUGGGGAAUAUUGCACAAUGGGGGAAACCCUGAUGCAGCAACGCCGCGUGAGUGAUGACGGUCUCCGGAUUGUAAAACUCUGUCUUCAGGGACGAUAAUGACGGUACCUGAGGAGGAAGCCACGGCUAACUACGUGCCAGCAGCCGCGGUAA